rnacentral:rRNA from 1 species
GACGAGCGCUGGCGGCGUGCUUAACACAUGCAAGUCGAACGGUGAAGCGCCUUCCUUUUUGGUGGGUGUGGAUGAGUGGCGAACGGGUGAGUAACACGUGAGUAACCUGCCCCCUUCUUCUGGAUAACCGCAUGAAAGUGUGGCUAAUACGGGAUAUUCUGGGUCUGUCGCAUGAUGGGUCUGGGAAAGAUAUUGUUUCGGUGGGGGAUGGGCUCGCGGCCUAUCAGCUUGUUGGUGGGGUGAUGGCCUACCAAGGCGGUGACGGGUAGCCGGCCUGAGAGGGUGGACGGUCACACUGGGACUGAGACACGGCCCAGACUCCUACGGGAGGCAGCAGUGGGGAAUAUUGCACAAUGGGCGCAAGCCUGAUGCAGCGACGCCGCGUGAGGGAUGGAGGCCUUCGGGUUGUGAACCUCUUUCGCCAGUGAAGCAGGCCUGCCCCGUUUGUGGGUGGGUUGACGGUAGCUGGAUAAGAAGCGCCGGCUAACUACGUG